UGGUGGAGUGAUUUGUCUGGUUAAUUCCGUUAACGAACGAGACCUCAGCCUGCUAAAUAGUUAUGCGAAUCCUCUCGUCAAACCGGCGUCGCCGGCGGCCGGGUGUCUCUCUCGUCCUUGCGAUGUUGCGGAGCCCCGGUCUAGCUCGGUCCCGGGAUGGGAUUGGUAGUUAACUUCUUAGAGGGACUAAUCGCGUCUAGCGAUUGGAAGUUUGAGGCAAUAACA
rnacentral:rRNA from 1 species